AAGGCUGAAAAAGGAAAGACCCAGAGGGAAAAACAUGAUGUUAUCACAGUUUGUAACAUGCAUUUCCCCUGAAGGCAGCCAAACACAGCUGCUGCAGCUGCACCUCGUUUUGAACGCCGCAGGCUCAGCUGAUCCGGGUUUACUGGGAUUAAACCCGACUCAGAGACCCGUCCGAGCAUCCUGUCUUUGAUGAAACGCAAACAGUCACCAUGUGUCUCGCUGCUGUUUGAGCUCCAUGAACCGAAGGUUUUCAUAAUAAAUACACAUUUCCUUUACUUUGUCCUCACACGCCAGUCUGCAGCGUGAUGACGACGAGGCAACACAGACAACGACCGGUGUUCUGACAAACCAUCCUACUUUGGCAAAACGUCCUACCAUCACAUCACAGCUGGACCAACGUCACGUGACCCAGUGAUGGUUCAUCUCCUCAUCGAUCCGCUCAAACUGUGAAAAACCGGGAUAAAAACAGGAAAUGACAUCGACAGUGUCGGUCUCGGCGCUCGACCCUGGGUUGAUUUAUCGGGUUGAUAACCACCGUCGUGCGACCGCAGAAACGAUAUCCUGGCUUUGCUGAACUUUGUGUCACGGGGCCUGGGCGUGACGUGAAGCCCAACUGUCAGCAGAGCCGACCUGUAGCUGGGAGCUCUCCCACAGGAACAUCACUCAGAACCUUUGUGAAACACAAAUAUUUUUACCACACAGAACAGUACGACCUUUGACCUGGAACCUAACA